rfam:Triticum aestivum genome assembly, contig: Triticum_aestivum_CS42_TGACv1_scaffold_576800_7BL
CAGAUACUCCCUCCGUCCAAAAAUACUUGUCGAAGAAAUAGAUGUAUCUAGACGUAUUUUAAUUCUAGAUACACUCAUUUUUAUCCAUUUCUUCGACAAGUAUUUCCAGAUGGACGGGGUACUAG